rnacentral:rRNA from 1 species
GACGAACGCUGGCGGCGUGCUUAACACAUGCAAGUCGAGCGGUAAGGCCCUUUCGGGGGUACACGAGCGGCGAACGGGUGAGUAACACGUGGGUGACCUGCCCUCAGCUCUGGGAUAAGCCCGGGAAACUGGGUCUAAUACCGGAUAUGACUCCAUGACGCAUGUUGUGGGGUGGAAAGCCUUGUGCGGCUGAGGAUGGGCCCGCGGCCUAUCAGCUUGUUGGCGGGGUGAUGGCCUACCAAGGCGACGACGGGUAGCCGGCCUGAGAGGGCGACCGGCCACACUGGGACUGAGACACGGCCCAGACUCCUACGGGAGGCAGCAGUGGGGAAUCUUGCGCAAUGGGCGAAAGCCUGACGCAGCGACGCCGCGUGAGGGAUGACGGCCU